AUCCAUGAGGAAUCUCCACACUGUCUUCCACAAUGGUCAAACUAAUUUUCAUUCCCACCAACAGUGAUUCAAGGUCAGCCAAAGAGGAGCAAAGAGUCAUCUACCUCAAACAAUCAUGUUCAGGAAAUGAUCAGGUCAAGAUGUGGAGUGAGCUAGCCUUUCUCUUUUGUGCCACGUUUUCUGACCCAGUAUUUCAAGCUACCCAAGGUGCGAAAAGGAAAGAAGGCCAAAGGGAAGAAGGUGGUGCCGACUCUUGCUGUCUUGAAAAAGCAGGAGACGAUGAAAGUGGUGAAUCUUCCGUUUGCGAAAUUUGGCACUAGACAGGACUUUUUGUCAUUCGACAGAACAUCCAGCCCAAAAGGGACCUCAAUUGCUUUGUCAAAUGGCCCCAUUAUACUAGGUUGCAGCAGCAGAGAGCCAUCCUCUAUAAGCAGCUAGAAGUGCCUUCUGUGAUUUAAUCAGUUCACCAGGGUCUUGGACCACCAAACAGCUACUCAAUGGGGUAAGCUGGCUGGCAAGUACAGACCAGAGACAAAGCAAGAGAAGGAGCAGAGACCGUUGGCCUGGGCUGAGAAGAAAGCAAAGGAGACAUCCCCACUAAGAGAUCACCUGUCCUUUUAAUGGGGGUUAACACUGUCACCACCUUAGUGGAGAAAAAGAAGGCUCAGCUGGUGGUGACUGCACAGGACAUAGAUCCCAUUGAGUUGGUUGUCUUCCUGCCUGCCCUGUGUUGUAAACUGGGGGUUCCUUACUGCAUUAUCUAAUGGAAGGCAAGCUUGAGACAUCUAGGAUUAAAAAACAAACAAACAACCAACAA
rnacentral:sRNA from 1 species